GACGAACGCUGGCGGCGUGCUUAACACAUGCAAGUCGAACGGAAAGGCGCUUCUUUUGUUGGUUGCUCGAGUGGCGAACCGGUCGGGAACACGUGAGUAACCUGCCCUUGACUUUGGUUUAACUUCACGAAACUAGGGCUAGUACCGGAUAGGAUCUCCUGCUGCAUUGUGGUGGUUGGACAGUUUCGGCGGUUGGGGAUGGGCGGGCGGGUUGUCAGCUUGUUGGUGGGGUAGUGGGUUACCAAGGCUUCGACGGGUAGCCGGCCUGAGAGGGUGAGCGGCCACAUUGGGACUGAGAUACGGCGCAGACUCCUACGGUAGGCAGCAGUGGGGAAUAUUGCGCAAUGGGGGGAAGCCUGAUGCAGCAACGCCGCGUGCGGGGUGACGGCCUUCGGGUUGUAAACCGCUUUCGCCUGUGACGAAGCGUGAGUGACGGUAAUGGGUAAAGAAGCACCGGCUAACUACGUG
rnacentral:rRNA from 1 species